rnacentral:rRNA from 1 species
CUCGUAGGCGGUUCGUCGCGUCCGGUGUGAAAGUCCAUCGCUUAACGGUGGAUCCGCGCCGGGUACGGGCGGGCUUGAGUGCGGUAGGGGAGACUGGAGUUCCCGGUGUAACGGUGGAAUGUGUAGAUAUCGGGAAGAACACCAAUGGCGAAGGCAGGUCUCUGGGCCGUCACUGACGCUGAGGGGCGAAAGCGUGGGGAGCGAACA